CAAACCCUAAUUUGUAAACCUGACAAACAAUAAAACAUUCCAAAGCAAGAAAAAUGAUAUGAUUUGAAACUAAAAUUUGAUGAAGAAACAUGAAAAUAAUUAUCAUUAGCAAAACAAUUAAGUUCUUACCCCUGUUUGUCUGACUUUUUAGAGCAGUAAAGCAUCCAACUUUCGAAAUCAACAAAAAUCUCUGCAUUUAAAAAAACAACAAAAUCAUCAUGAUGAACAAUAAAACCCAAUGGCAACAGAAAGAGGAUUAUAAAGAGGAAUGAAAAGAAAAUUAGGGAUUUGGAAAAAAGAACAAAACUGAAAUUACCUGCUGGAUGAGUCUUGAAACAUGUUGGAGGAUUCGAUUGAGAAGAUUGAGAAGAAAACCUAAUUUGCAAACAUAGACAAAAAAGAAAUAGGCCACAUAAAAAUCAGAUGAUGAAAUUAAAUCCAUAAAACAACAGAUAGAUGGAGAAGCAAUUUGAAACCUUUGGAGAUUAUGGCUUGUGCCAUCCAAGAUGGUUGAUUCAUGGAGAGAGACGAAGUUCAAAGGAAUCAACAAAAAAUGGAGAGAGAUGAGUAAGAAAGUGAGUUUAGAUAUUGAAAAAGAGUGGGAUAAAUUGAAUUUUG
rnacentral:lncRNA from 1 species